rnacentral:rRNA from 1 species
AACUCCAUCUAAAACUAAAUAUAACCAUGAGACCGAUAGUAAACAAGUACCGUGAGGGAAAGUUGAAAAGAACUCUGAAUAGAGAGUUAAAUAGUACGUGAAACUGCUUAGAGGUUAAGCCCGAUGAACCUGAAUAUCCGUUAUGGAAAAUUCAUCAUUAUGAUUUUAAUAUUAAUAAUAUUAUAAUAAUGGUGUGCAUUUUUUCUAUAAAGGACAUUGUAAUCUAUUAACAUAAAAAAUAUUUAUUAAAAGAUCUUUGGCUUAAGUUUAUUCGAAUUAUUUUGCUUGCAAUUUAAUAUAGAAUAAAUGCCUUUGAUUUGAUAAAGUGUUG